UACGUAGGGCGCAAGCGUUAUCCGGAAUUAUUGGGCGUAAAGAGCUCGUAGGCGGUUUGUCGCGUCUGCUGUGAAAGACCGGGGCUCAACUCCGGUUCUGCAGUGGGUACGGGCAGACUAGAGUGCAGUAGGGGAGACUGGAAUUCCUGGUGUAGCGGUGAAAUGCGCAGAUAUCAGGAGGAACACCGAUGGCGAAGGCAGGUCUCUGGGCUGUAACUGACGCUGAGGAGCGAAAUCAUGGGGAGCGAACAGG
rnacentral:rRNA from 1 species